UGACCUACAAGCUCAGGUGCUCUUCCAC
rnacentral:piRNA from 1 species